UGGAGUGCAAUGGCGCAAUCUCGGCUCACUGCAACCUCCACCCCCCCGGGUUCACACCAUUCUCCUGCCUCAGUCUCCUGAGUAGUUGGGACUUUACCAAAGGGACAUCAUAAGACAGAAAUUGGGCCAGCUGUUGAGAAUUCAGAGAUGAAGACAGAGCUUUUGGCUUAAUGGAGUCCUGAUGUUAGUGAUGAUUAUAUUAAGGCAAUUUCUGUAAAAUGUUCGAUUUCCCUCCCUCCAGCAUCUUGGCUGGAUGUAAGUGAUUGUGUUCUUUUAUGUGAAGCUACCCUGGAUCCCUGCAAUAGUGUUAUUCACUGAGCAUGAAUAAUGGAUUGGUUAUUGGCAAUUCUGUAGAGCAGGAAUGACUAUUAGCGAACUUGGAGCUCACUAAAGGGAUAUCAGUUACUGGAAUGUCAAGAGGACAUAUCAAUCAAGAUCUCUCAUAAUAAGUUGAGGAGACAGCAUGUCUACAACUGAAAAUGUGGCAAGGGCAUGAUGUACGAGGAUGACGGGCAGAUGACUUCUGUGGAUGAUCCAGAGAAGGAGCCAUCACCGGGGACAACCCAGAUCAGGAACAGCUUCAUAGAGUACGUGUAGCGUGUCUUUCAAGGGGGCCUCUCCUGUGAAGCUUCCUGGAUGCUGGGAUCAAUUAUCGUGCUUGAGAGACCAGGUGAGGCUACACAGAAAAAAUACCUUGCAUGACCUGCCCUACCAACCUCUCCACAACACUCCAGUUUCUCACAGCUCAUUCCUGCUCUGGGACUUUUCCAUUUAUUUACUACCCCAUUGCCCUGGAGUGCUCUUUGGCUAGACAGAAGAGUAGACUCCUCAUCUUCCAAGUCUCACCCCCACCGUAAUCUGUGAGAAUGCGUGCUAUCUGAAAAUUUCCUGUCUGUGCUCUUAACAUCUUUGUAACUAGAAUGAAAGAUCCAUGCAGUACUGGUCUUUGUAUCGUGCUUGAGUUAUCCCCAACACCGAGCACAGUGCUGCAAAUUGUGUCCUGUGUUUAAUAAAUGAGUGAAUCAAUGGCCUUGAAGAAUGGACUUUGAGGGGCGUGGUGCAGGCAGGAGGAAAUUGAUGAGCAAACAUGAGGACAUACCAGAAGAGGAGAGGGCAGGUAUCAAAGCUGGGCGAGAAGAAACAAUUUGGUUAGGCUUAAGUACAAGGGGCAAGAUGAAAUUGGAAAAGGGAGCAAAGGUUGGAUUUUGAAGGACCUUAAACGGCAAAGAAUUCAAGCAGGGGAGAUAUAAUCAUGUUUGUGAUCUGAAAAAGUCUUACCCACAUACCAGCUUAGCCAGUUGAGAAACAUACUAAAUAAAUGACACUUUUAAUAUCAGUGCUGCUACCACCGGCCGCAUCAAGGAACUGGAGCUGAGACUGAGAAUGCAAGCUGUGUUGAAGGGACUCUUUUCAUUGGCAUAAGUGUCUCUGAGAGCAAGUUGCAAGAUUUCCAAGCCUUCAAUGAGUCUUCCACUGACAUUUAGCUUAAUUUUGACAAGUAUAUCUGACUACUGCAAUGUGUUAAUGAUCAAGGAGUAUGUCAAAUUAUGACAUGUCUACUGCAGGAAAUUAUGGAGUAAUACAGUAUGCACUGGAUCAACCAUUGUCUAUGCCUGGUAUUAUGACAAAAAGUGAUUGAUUUUGGCAUCAAAAUUAAAGUGUUCAUCUGGCUCAA